GGAUCAAUACGUCGGUCGUGCUUUUUUGGUACGCACUGGCGUCAUUGGUUUCUCCUUUCUGACGAACCACGAUGUCAUUAAUUUGGUGUCAUGGGGAGUUAGGACUGUUACUUUGAAAAAAUUAGAGUGUUUAAAGCAGGCAUUAGCUUGAAUACAUUAGCAUGGAAUAAUGAAAUAGGACGUUCGAUCCUAUUUUGUUGGUUUCUAGGAUCAACGUA
rnacentral:rRNA from 1 species